GGGAAUCUGCCCCUUGGUUCGGAAUAACAGUUAGAAAUGACUGCUAAUACCGGAUGAUGACGUAAGUCCAAAGAUUUAUCGCCAUGGGAUGAGCCCGCGUAGGAUUAGCUAGUUGGUGUGGUAAAGGCGCACCAAGGCGACGAUCCUUAGCUGGUCUGAGAGGAUGAUCAGCCACACUGGGACUGAGACACGGCCCAGACUCCUACGGGAGGCAGCAGUGGGGAAUAUUGGACAAUGGGCGCAAGCCUGAUCCAGCAAUGCCGCGUGAGUGAUGAAGGCCUUAGGGUUGUAAAGCUCUUUUACCCGUGAUGAUAAUGACAGUAGCGGGAGAAUAAGCCCCGGCUAACUCCGUGCCAGCAGCCGCGGUAAUACGGAGGGGGCUAGCGUUGUUCGGAAUUACUGGGCGUAAAGCGCACGUAGGCGGCUUUGUAAGUUAGAGGUGAAAGCCUGGAGCUCAACUCCAGAACUGCCUUUAAGACUGCAUCGCUUGAAUCCAGGAGAGGUGAGUGGAAUUCCGAGU
rnacentral:rRNA from 1 species